rnacentral:rRNA from 1 species
AGUGAACGCUGGCGGUAGGCCUAACACAUGCAAGUCGAACGGCAGCACAGUAAGAGCUUGCUCUUACGGGUGGCGAGUGGCGGACGGGUGAGGAAUACAUCGGAAUCUACUUUUUCGUGGGGGAUAACGUAGGGAAACUUACGCUAAUACCGCAUACGACCUACGGGUGAAAGCAGGGGAUCUUCGGACCUUGCGCGAUUGAAUGAGCCGAUGUCGGAUUAGCUAGUUGGCGGGGUAAAGGCCCACCAAGGCGGCGAUCCGUAGCUGGUCUGAGAGGAUGGUCAGCCACACUAGAACUGAGACACGGUCCAGACUCCUAAGGGAGGCAGCAGUGGGGAAUAUUCGACAAUGGGCGCAAGCCUGAUCCAGCCAUACCGCGUGAGUGAAGAAGGCCUUCGGGUUGUAAAGCCCUUUUGUUGGGAAAGAAAAGCAGCAGGUUAAUACCCCGCUGUUCUGACGGUACCCAAAGAAUAAGCUCCGGCUAACUUCGUG